rnacentral:rRNA from 1 species
UACGUAGGUGGCAAGCGUUGUCCGGAAUUAUUGGGCGUAAAGCGCGCGCAGGCGGUCCUUUAAGUCUGAUGUGAAAGCCCACGGCUCAACCGUGGAGGGUCAUUGGAAACUGGGGGACUUGAGUGCAGAAGAGGAAAGCGGAAUUCCACGUGUAGCGGUGAAAUGCGCAGAGAUGUGGAGGAACACCAGUGGCGAAGGCGGCUCUCUGGUCUGUAACUGACGCUGAGGCGCGAAAGCGUGGGGAGCAAACAGG